rnacentral:rRNA from 1 species
UACGGAGGGAGCUAGCGUUGUUCGGAAAUACUGGGCGUAAAGCGCACGUAGGCGGCGCAGCAAGUCAGGGGUGAAAUCCCGGGGCUCAACCCCGGAACUGCCUCUGAAACUGCAGUGCUAGAAUCUUGGAGAGGCGAGUGGAAUUCCGAGUGUAGAGGUGAAAUUCGUAGAUAUUCGGAAGAACACCAGUGGCGAAGGCGGCUCACUGGCCCGGUACUGACGCUGAGGUGCGAAAGCGUGGGGAGCAAACAGG